AGUGAUUAGUGAUAUCCCCCAGGGGUCAAUGUUUGGGCCAAUGCUCUUUAGUGUCUUCCUCAGUGAGAUUGACAGUGGAGUUCAGCACAUCCUCAGCAAGUUUGUGGAUGACACCAUGAUGUGAAGUGCAGUUGACACAUCACAGGGACAGGAUGCCAUGCAGAGGGACCUAGACAGGCUUGAGCAGUGUGCCCAGGUGAACCUCAUGAGGUUCAACAAAUCCAAGUGAAAGGUUUUGCACUUGGGUUGACGUAACAUCCACUACCAAUGCAAGCUGAGGGAUGAAAGAAUUGAACACAGCCUUGCUGAAAAGGACCUGGGGUGCUGGUGGAUAGAAAGCUGGACAUUAGCCAGAAAUGUGCCCUUGCGGCCCAGAAAGUCAACUGUAUCCUGAGCUGCAUCAAAAGGAGCAUGGCCAGCAGGGUGAGGGAGGCGAUCCUGUCCCUCUACUCUGUGCUGGUGAGGCCUCACGUGGAGUACUGUGUCCAGAUGUAGAGUCCUCAGUACAGGAGAGGCAUGGACCUGUUGAUGCGCAUCCAGAGGAGGCUUCAAACAUGAUCCAUGGAAUGGAACACCUCUGCUAUGAGGAGGACAGGCUGAAAGAGUUGGGCUGUUCAGGCUGAAGAAGAGAAGGCUCUGAGGUGUACCACAAGAUCUGGACCGCUUGUAGGAUUUAGUAAAGUACCAGCUUAAGUAACAGGAACUUCGACCAAAAGCAAUACUCUGAUUCUCCUUUAACGACUGCUCAACUUCUCACUUGGCAUUCAUAGCAUUACACUGAUAAGUUAAAAGCUGUAGAGCUUGUGUAGCUACUGCAUAACUCGUUUCUCUGUUAGAAAUGUACUGGACUGAAC
ensembl:lncRNA